UACGGAGGGAGCUAGCGUUGUUCGGAAUUACUGGGCGUAAAGCGCACGUAGGCGGCUUUGUAAGUUAGAGGUGAAAGCCCGGGGCUCAACCCCGGAAUUGCCUUUAAGACUGCAUCGCUUGAAUCCAGGAGAGGUGAGUGGAAUUCCGAGUGUAGAGGUGAAAUUCGUAGAUAUUCGGAAGAACACCAGUGGCGAAGGCGACUCGCUGGACAAGUAUUGACGCUGAGGUGCGAAAGCGUGGGGAGCAAACAGG
rnacentral:rRNA from 1 species